GACGAACGCUGGCGGCGUGCUUAACACAUGCAAGUCGAACGAAGUGGCGAACGGGUGAGUAGCGCGUAAUCAACCUGCCCUUCAGCGGGGGACAACAGUUGGAAACGACGGCUAAUACCGCAUACUGAAGGAGGGGAUUGCGUCUGAUUAGCUAGUUGGAGGGGUAACGGCCAACCAAGGCGAUGAUCAGUAGCCGGUCUUGGAGGAGGAACGGCCACAUUGGGACUGGGACACGGCCCAGACUCCUACGGGAGGCAGCAGUGGGGAAUCUUCCGGAAUGGGCGAAAGUCUUACGGAGCAACGCCGCGGGAGUGAUGACGGCCUUCGGGUUGUAAAGCUCUGGUAAUCAGGACGCGGUACCGAAAUAGAAAGCCACGGCUAACUACGUGCCAGCAGCCGCGGUAAUUC
rnacentral:rRNA from 1 species